GGCGGUGAUGAAAUAUUGCUCGUUUCAAACACCUCUCAUAUGAGAAGUGCUUUUUGAAAGCCCUUCCUUGAAUAAACUAACAUCUUUACUAAGCC